UACGAGGGGGGCGAGCGUUGUUCGGAAUUAUUGGGCGUAAAGGGUGCGUAGGCGGUUUGGUAAGUCUUAUGUGAAAUCUAUGGGCUCAACUCAUAGUCUGCAUGAGAAACUGCCGGGCUUGAGUAUGGGAGAGGUGAGUGGAAUUCCUGGUGUAGCGGUGAAAUGCGUAGAUAUCAGGAGGAACACCUGUGGCGAAAGCGGCUCACUGGACCAUAACUGACGCUGAUGCACGGAAGCUAGGGGAGCAAACAGG
rnacentral:rRNA from 1 species